AAUCACAGACGAAGAAGAAGAAGAAACCU
rnacentral:sRNA from 1 species